UUAUAAACAACCUCUGUUUAGAGGUGACCCAGCCCUAUUUCAUUAUAAACAACAAUAUAACUCUGUUUAGAGGUGACCCAGCCCUAUUUCAUUAUAAACAACAAUAUAACUCUGUUUAGAGGUGACCCAGCCCUAUUUCAUUAUAAACAACCUCUGUUUAGAGAUGACCCAGCCCUAUUUCAUUAUAAACAACCUCUGUUUAGAGGUGACCCAGUCCUAUUUCAUUAUAAACAACCUCUGUUUAGAGGUGACCCAGCCCUAUUUCAUUAUAAACAACCUCUGUUUAGAGGUGACCCAGUCCUAUGUCAUUAUAAACAACAAUAUAACUCUGUUUAGAGGUGACCCAGCCCUAUUUCAUUAUAAACAACAAUAUAACUCUGUUUAGAGGUGACCCAGCCCUAUUUCAUUAUAAACAACCUCUGUUUAGAGAUGACCCAGUCCUAUUUCAUUAUAAACAACCUCUGUUUAGAGGUGACCCAGUCCUAUUUCAUUAUAAACAACCUCUGUUUAGAGGUGACCCAGCCCUAUUUCAUUAUAAACAACCUCUGUUUAGAGGUGACCCAGCCCUAUUUCAUUAUAAACAACCUCUGUUUAGAGGUGACCCAGCCCUAUUUCAUUAUAAACAACCUCUGUUUAGAGGUGACCCAGCCCUAUUUCAUUAUCAACAACCUCUGUUUAGAGGUGACCCAGCCCUAUUUCAUUAUCAACAACCUCUGUUUAGAGGUGACCCAGCCCUAUUUCAUUAUAAACAACAAUAUAACUCUGUUUAGAGGUGACCCAGCCCUAUUUCAUUAUAAACAACCUCUGUUUAGAGAUGACCCAGCCCUAUUUCAUUAUCAACAAACUCUGUUUAGAGGUGACCCAGCCCUAUUUCAUUAUCAACAACCUCUGUUUAGAGAUGACCCAGCCCUAUUUCAUUAUCAACAAACUCUGUUUAGAGGUGGCCUAGCCCUAUUUCAUUAUCAACAAACUCUGUUUAGAGUUGACCCAGCCCUAUUUCAUUAUCAACAAACUCUGUUUAGAGGUGGCCUAGCCCUAUUUCAUUAUAAACAACAAUAUAACUCUGUUUAGAGGUGACCCAGCCCUAUUUCAUUAUGAACAAACUCUGUUUAGAGGUGACCCAGCCCUAUUUCAUUAUCAACAACCUCUGUUUAGAGGUGACCCAGCCCUAUUUCAUUAUCAACAAACUCUGUUUAGAGGUGACCCAGCCCUAUUUCAUUAUCAACAAACUCUGUUUAGAGGUGACCCAGCCCUAUUUCAUUAUCAACAACCUCUGUUUAGAGGUGACCCAGCCCUAUUUCAUUAUGAACAAACUCUGUUUAGAGGUGACCCAGCCCUAUUUGAUUAUGAACAAACUCUGUUUAGAGAUGACCCAGCCCUAUUUCAUUAUCAACAACCUCUGUUUAGAGGUGACCCAGCCCUAUUUCAUUAUCAACAACCUCUGUUUAGAGUUGACCCAGCCCUAUUUCAUUAUGAACAAACUCUGUUUAGAGGUGACCCAGCCCUAUUUCAUUAUCAACAACCUCUGUUUAGAGCUGACCCAGCCCUAUUUCAUUAUCAACAAACUCUGUUUAGAGGUGACCCAGCCCUAUUUCAUUAUGAACAAACUCUGUUUAGAGGUGACCCAGCCCUAUUUGAUUAUCAACAAACUCUGUUUAGAGGUGACCCAGCCCUAUUUCAUUAUCAACAAACUCUGUUUAGAGGUGACCCAGCCCUAUUUGAUUAUGAACAAACUCUGUUUAGAGGUGACCCAGCCCUAUUUCAUUAUCAACAACCUCUGUUUAGAGGUGACCCAGCCCUAUUUCAUUAUAAACAACAAUAUAACUCUGUUUAGAGGUGACCCAGCCCUAUUUCAUUAUAAACAACAAUAUAACUCUGUUUAGAGGUGACCCAGCCCUAUUUCAUUAUAAACAACAAUAUAACUCUGUUUAGAGGUGACCCAGCCCUAUUUCAUUAUAAACAACCUCUGUUUAGAGAUGACCCAGCCCUAUUUCAUUAUAAACAACCUCUGUUUAGAGGUGACCCAGUCCUAUUUCAUUAUAAACAACCUCUGUUUAGAGGUGACCCAGCCCUAUUUCAUUAUAAACAACCUCUGUUUAGAGGUGACCCAGUCCUAUGUCAUUAUAAACAACAAUAUAACUCUGUUUAGAGGUGACCCAGCCCUAUUUCAUUAUAAACAACAAUAUAACUCUGUUUAGAGGUGACCCAGCCCUAUUUCAUUAUAAACAACCUCUGUUUAGAGAUGACCCAGUCCUAUUUCAUUAUAAACAACCUCUGUUUAGAGGUGACCCAGUCCUAUUUCAUUAUAAACAACCUCUGUUUAGAGGUGACCCAGCCCUAUUUCAUUAUAAACAACCUCUGUUUAGAGGUGUCCCAGCCCUAUUUCAUUAUAAACAACCUCUGUUUAGAGGUGACCCAGCCCUAUUUCAUUAUAAACAACCUCUGUUUAGAGGUGACCCAGCCCUAUUUCAUUAUCAACAACCUCUGUUUAGAGGUGACCCAGCCCUAUUUCAUUAUGAACAAACUCUGUUUAGAGGUGACCCAGCCCUAUUUCAUUAUCAACAACCUCUGUUUAGAGGUGACCCAGCCCUAUUUCAUUAUCAACAAACUCUGUUUAGAGGUGACCCAGCCCUAUUUCAUUAUCAACAAACUCUGUUUAGAGGUGACCCAGCCCUAUUUCAUUAUCAACAACCUCUGUUUAGAGGUGACCCAGCCCUAUUUCAUUAUGAACAAACUCUGUUUAGAGGUGACCCAGCCCUAUUUCAUUAUGAACAAACUCUGUUUAGAGAUGACCCAGCCCUAUUUCAUUAUCAACAACCUCUGUUUAGAGGUGACCCAGCCCUAUUUCAUUAUCAACAACCUCUGUUUAGAGGUGACCCAGCCCUAUUUCAUUAUGAACAAACUCUGUUUAGAGGUGACCCAGCCCUAUUUCAUUAUCAACAACCUCUGUUUAGAGGUGACCCAGCCCUAUUUGAUUAUCAACAAACUCUGUUUAGAGGUGACCCAGCCCUAUUUCAUUAUGAACAAACUCUGUUUAGAGGUGACCCAGCCCUAUUUCAUUAUCAACAAACUCUGUUUAGAGGUGACCCAGCCCUAUUUCAUUAUCAACAAACUCUGUUUAGAGGUGACCCAGCCCUAUUUGAUUAUGAACAAACUCUGUUUAGAGGUGACCCAGCCCUAUUUCAUUAUCAACAACCUCUGUUUAGAGGUGACCCAGCCCUAUUUCAUUAUGAACAAACUCUGUUUAGAGGUGACCCAGCCCUAUUUCAUUAUCAACAACCUCUGUUUAGAGGUGACCCAGCCCUAUUUCAUUAUGAACAAACUCUGUUUAGAGGUGACCCAGCCCUAUUUCAUUAUAAACAACAGUUGAACUUAGAGAACUUAGUCACUUUUAUUGUAAAUUGUUUAACUUGUACUUUUAUUAUUAAAGUAGUACUUUUUUUGUAAAUUAUUUAACUUUUAAUUUUAUUGUAAAUUAUUAAACUCUUACUUUUAAUAAUUCUUACUUUUAAUAACUCUUACUCUUACUUUGUAAAUUACUUUAUUGUUCAACUGUUAUCAUUUUCUAUGUAUUGUAUAUACUGUUUACGUUCUAUAAAUGUUAUUUUUUUCCAGUUUACUUUGCAAUGUAUAUUCUUUUCAAAUCUAUUAUUAUUAUCUAUGAUUGUGUAUAAUAUGUUUUGUAGCGAUUCUAAAUGCAAUCGACCAGCAUGACGUUCACCUCUCUGUACCUGCAAUCAAGGCGAUGUAACCAUAGAAAUAUAAUUACAAGAACAGUAUUCCUGUUCAUUCUCCCCUGUUCUGAUGGGCUUUUUCCCCAGAAAUCUACAAAUCAUAUAUCUAUGAACGUUAAAUAGAAAAAAUCCACUUUUCCUCAGCUGUCCUCCGAAUGUUUGGCAUGUGAUUUAACUUUGUAUCAUAUUUUCUUAGUUGCUAUCAAUAGACAUUCAUCUGCUUUUAAAAAAUAUAUAUUUUUGCACUCCUGUAUUUGCAUGACUAUGAUGCACCAACACUUAUAGGUCAGUUGCUUAAGCACCUUAAAUUAAAGUUUUUAAAAAGCUGGUUAAUUUAUUGUAUCAAAGAUACACAUAUAGAGAAUCAGAGUUGAUAUCGUUAUAAUCAUCAAAAAAAUAACCAAAUACAGUCAGUACAUCCAUGUAUAGUCAAGAAUGUUUUAUCUCUUUUUUUUUAUACUGUUGCUAUUCUCAGAAUAAACUGUCCAACAUAUCAGUUAAAAACAUUAUUUGCUAAAUAUUAAUUUGUUUCCUCAUAUACAGAGCCUUCAGAAAGUAUUCACAGCCAUUGACUUUUCCCACAUUUCGUUGUGUUACAGCCUGAAUUAAACAUGGAUCAAGUUUAGAUUUUAAGUCUCUGGCCUACACUCAAUACCCCAUAAUGUCAAAGUGAAAUUGUUUUUAGAAUUUUUUACAAAUGAAUUGCUGAAAUGCUGAAAUGUCUUGAGUCAAUAAGUAUUCAACCCCUUUGUUAUGGCAUGCCUAAAUAAGUUCAUGGGUAAACAUUUGCUUAACAAGUCACAUAAGUUUAAUUGAUUCAUCAGCGUGCAAUAAUAGUGUUUCAGAUGAUUUUUUAAUGACUUCCUCAUCUCUGUACCCCACACAUACAAUUAUCUCUAAUGUCCCUCAGUCCAGCAGUGCAUUUCAAACACAGAUUCAACCACAAAGACCAGGGAGGUUUUCCAAUUCCUCGCAAAGAAGGGCACCUAUUGGUAGUUGGUUAAACUAUAAAAGCAGACAUUGAAUAUCCCUUUGAGCAUGGUGAAGUUAUUAAUUGCACUUUGGAUGGUGUAUCAAUACACCCAGUCACUACAAAUAUCCACGAGUCCUUCAGUUGCCGGAGAGGAAAGAAAACUGCUCAGCGAUUUCACCAUGAGGCCAAUGGUGACUUAAAAACAGUUACAGAGUUUAAAGGAUGUGGAUAAGAGAAAACAAACUUGUAGUUACCCCACAAUACUAACCUAAAUGACAGAGUGAAAAGAAGGAAGCCUAUACAGAAUAAAUAUAUUACAAAACAUCCUGUUCACAGGAGGUUGGUGGCACCUUAAUUGACAAAGCGUUAUGUUUGGGGCAAAUCCAACACAACACAUCACUGAGUAGCACUCUUCAUAUUUUCAUGCAGAGUGGUGGCUGCAUCAUGUUAUGGGUAUGCUUGUGGUCGUUAAGGUCUAGAGAGUGUUUUAGGAUAAAAAGAAGCAGAAUAGAGCUAAGCAGAGGCAAAAUCCCAGAGGAAAACCUGGAUCAGUCUGCUUUUCAACAGACGGUGGAGACAAAUGCACUUUUCAGCAGGACAAUAACCUAAAACACAAGGCCAAAUAAACACUGGAGUUGGUUACCAAGACAACAUUGAAUGUUCCUGAGUGGCCCAGUUAUAAUUUUGACUUAAAUCUGCCUUAAUAUCUAUGGCAAAACUUGAAAAUGGCUGUAUAGCAAUGAUUAACAACCAACUUUGAAUAAUUUUUAAAAGAAUAAUGUGCAAAUAUUAAUCUCUUAGAGACUUACCCAGAAAGACUCACAGCUGUAAUCACUGCCAAAGGUGAUUCUAACAUGUAUUAACUCAGGGGUGUGAAUACUUAUGUAAAUGACAUAUUUCUGUAUUUCAUUUUCAUUUGUAAAAAUGUCUAAAAAACAUGUUUUCACUUUGUCAUUAUGAUGUAUUGUGUGUAGAUGGGUGAGAAAAACAUAUGUAAUCCAUUUUGAAUUUAGUCUCUAACACAACAACAUGUGGAAUAAGUCAAGGGGUAUGAAUACUUUCUGAAGGCGCUGUAAAUACAAGACACAGUCUCAUCAUACAUUUACACAUUUGAUCAUUCUUUUGAGGAUUGUUUUGUUUUGGGACUGAUUGGCUGAGGAAUGGUCAAACAUUGUCCCUUUGAUGUGAUUGGACUGAAAACACCUUCCCUUCGAUGUGGAUGGUCAUUUGAAAUCUAUGCAUGUCGUAACCAUGACUACAGCAUCCAUCUUGAACAGUGUCCAAAGGAGAUAUUUAUUAUUUGUUGUUUUUUAGUGUUGAGUCUGCAUUAAAUAGAGCUUACCUGUUUUAAGUCUAUAAGUCAAUGAUUCGUGUCUGUAGCUGUUGUUUUGGAGUUGUCGCUAUGAAGCUGAAUUAAAGAUGAAUUUCCACGAUGCGGAGUCCUAAGACUGGAAAUUGGAAUCUGGGUGGUAAUAUUGUUUUGUUGAUAUUAUUUUAGAACUCACCUGGUUAAAAAUGAUGAAUAAAAAAUAUAUAAAUACAAAAGAUUAAAUAAUCUGGUGGGUCACAUGGAAAUUAGAAUGAUUUUAGUUGUCGUGGCACACAAACAAAUAUUUUUGCACCUUCAGGGGGCGGUUUCCCAGACGCAGAUUAAGACUAGUCCUGGAUUAAGUAACAAGAUCAAUGGAGAAUCUCCAUUAAAAAAUGGAUUAGGAUUAGUCUUAAUCUGUGUCCCUGAAACGGCCCCUAAAGGUGUUUGAUGAGGAAGCACAGUAGACCAUAGAUUUACUAUCUAUACGAUGUCAUCCGUUUUUCUAACAUGAGGUAUGUCAAUACCGAACACUCGUAUGACUUCCCCCCUAUGGAAAAGCAUACCAGAAUAUAUCAAAAAGAUAAUGAUCAUAUGAUGUAACAUAAUCAGAUUUGGAUAUCACCCUUUUUUCUGUAAUAAAUCAUGGCUCUUUUAAAUCAA